AAAAAACCUGAAAAGGUGUUAAUUUACCAUACCAUCAGGGCAAUUAAUGCUCACUGGACAGUAUCUCCUAGUAGCCUUUUUGACAGCAGCUUCCUCAAAUGAAGUUGAUAUUAGAAGGAGGAGUUUCAUUAAACUUGACAGCACGGAAAAGUUUGAAAAUGUCUUUUUAACCAGGUGAGUUAGAAUCAGAUAUGCCUCUGCGAGGAAGUGAGUGAGGGAACUGUUCUCACCCCACACAAUCACCGCAAAAUCAGAUACAGGGUGAGUUAAAUAGUUACACAUCUUGCUGCAUAUCUUACCAGAUUCCCAUUUCUAUUUUUUUUUUUUUGAGCAAAAUAGCAAAGCACCUAAUAUAGGUCAUUAAGUAUGUUUGCAAUACUAUAAUUUAAUCUUUGUAACUGCCAUUGCUAACCAGACACUAACAUGCCCAUAUGCUCAGUAUAGAAAUGAUGGCAUGAAACUUUUUAGCAACUCCUUGUACUUCAUAAUAAUACUGGGUCAUCUUGAGUGUGAGGGAUCAUGACACUGUCUGUAUGUAGUUUUAAAUUCCCUAGUGAUGCCAAAUGUAUUUGUGUCAACAGAUACUGUUCCAAAAUACCGGAGUUCAAUUUAGCUGAAUACCAGGGGACUGACUCAAAUGACUGCAGGAGAAAUAAAUAUAUCUUUAACUAACUCAGAUGGCAAAAUGUUGAAAACUCAGAAAAUCUGUAUUACAAAGAGCUGGAAAGUAGUAAAGUAAGACAUUUCCAGAAAGGCUAAUCAAUUUAGUGUUUUCUUUAAUUAUAUUAUUGGAACCCUUUUUAAUUCACAUCUUUUCUCAGCCAUAUGUGAAAACCUGUUUUUUACCAACUUAUGAUAGCAUCUAAUUAAUUAUGAAUAAUAAAUCAUCGUUACAAAUGUAGAAAUCUGUUUUAUACUACAGAACUAUUCAAUAUAGUAAAAUACCAAUAAUCAUAGUAAUAAUAAUCACCAAAGUAAUAUGUAACUCUGACUGAGUACUUAAUAUGAGCUAGAAGCUUCACUAAGUACCUUUAUGGAUUGUUUUAUAUUAACCUCCCAACAACCUUGUGAGAUAGGUAAAAUAAUUUGCUAUUUCCUAUUCUAAUGAAUGGCUAAGACUUUUAUUGAGAAUUUUCUGUGUGUCAGGCACUGUACAUGUAUUAACUCAUUCAUUCCUCACAACUCUCCACAAAGCAGGUGCUCUCGUUAUUCCCAUUUUAGGCAUGAGGAAACUGAGGUACAGAGUUGAAGUGACCCGCCCAGGGCUACUAAGCUGUAAGUGACAUAGCCAACACCCAAACUCCAUCUGUCUGGCUCCAAGCUCAAUCUUUCCUUACUAAACAGCUGCUCAACACCUGCUAUAUUUUCUUUGAAAUUUCUGUGUGCCAGGCACUGUAGCAAAUGGUCUUCAUAUGUUAAUUAUCCCUCCUUGA